GGGACCGUCACGGGAAGGGCGGGGCUCCGGAAACCCGAGCCUCGGGCAGAGACCGUCUGCUGGGCGGAGGGCGGCGGGGGUCUGGGCCGCAAGUGCGGGACGCUGCUCAGUGAGAGUCCGGAGGCGCACGCAGGCUUCCCGGCAGCACCGAGCCUGACUCUUCUCUUCCCCUCGAGUCUUAUUCCAAGUCCCCUUUGCACUGACCCUCAGUGACCUUGGGGAAGAGCUCCGGGACUAUUUUCACGUGUGUGCAUGGAGGGGUCAAAGGCAUGGGAAUUACGACCCUCAAUCCAUCGGGCAGGAAAUCGGAGCUCAGAGGGAAGUGGCCUCCAAGUGAGCAGCGGCCCGGAAGGAAGACAGAAAGCAUCUACCGAAGAGUUAUCCUCAGAACCAUCCAGCCACCAAGUCUGAAACAACUGACUCUAAUAUGGGGCCUCCAUUUUCUUUCCCUUCAUGUUCUUGGCCAUAUUCUCAGUAUCUUCAACCCAACCUUUGAAAACAAGUGUUUUUAAACUACAAAAGGGUCCGGAGUCUGCACUUACUGUAGAGGGAGGAAACGAAGCUAACAUUCAAAGGGGACAAAAGGAAUCGACUAAGCCGGGAGAUAGCAACAUGCAAGGACGACCAGGGCAUCCUAACCAGCCGGGAGAACCGGGGGAUUCCAGUCAGCCCGGGGGUCUGCAAGGGAAUCAGGAGGGUCUAGUGAGCAAGGGAGGCAGGAUCUUCUGGCCACCAAGGAGAACCAGGAUUGUCUAGGCAACAACAGAGAUCAAGACCUUUUUACACUCAACAAGAAAGAAAAACUGUAGACAACCCUUUGAAUCACAAUCUAAAGGAGAUUCAGGGAUGCUAACCCUGUCCAUUUCACAGAGUAUGUGUGAGUGAAAGUAAUGGAUUGGUGUGAAAAGCACGGUUACCUAGAACCAGUGGAGAAGACCAAGAGACCUGUUCAUCCUCCUCGGUUCUACGAGCGCUGAGCCCUCUGUCGAAGGUCCUCACCCUCCCAUGUAGUGUCUCUGUCCUCAUCUGCUAGUCAAAGCUUCUUUAUGCGCACAGGCUUUUGUCAUUCUAUAACUUGAUUCUGAGAAAAUGCUUCAAGUACUUACUACUCAGCUGAACUCUGCAAAAUUCUACCUCCUGAUUCAUUUUCUUUCAUGGAAUAUGAAAGGCUCAAAAAAUUAUGGCCAUUUGUGUUUUGUAUUUGUACGCGUGACUUCUCCUGAAUUAUUGCUUCCUCAGGUGGGGAAAGGCUUGUCUACAGAGUUAAAGUGGCAGCAGUCUGGCAUGUAGUCAGAGCAGGGGCCCCAGCGUCAGGUAACUCAGGGUCUGGAUCCCAGCGUGAGUAUUGAAUCCUCACAUUGUGGGCUUGUCACUUAAAUGCCUUGUGUGCCUGAGACUAUACAAUAGGGCACAAUAUACUUUCCUUUCAGUAUUGUUGCAUGGAUUAAAUAAAAAUACAAAGGACCAGCAAAAUGAAAGAUUUAACACAAUGCUUAAUCAAUAAUUAAUUUUAUUACAAUAUCAGAAUUAAAUUAAGUUCCCUAUACUCACCUAAUGGUCUUAAACAUUACUGUAGACUGGCAGUACCGGCAACGAGAACCCAACUGGACAUAUAAACUGUCAGUCAGCCUACCAGCCAGUCUGUGGCUCUGAUGGGAAGGCCUGUGGUGACCACUGCCUCUUCAAUGAAGCAAAGAGUUAAGAGGAUGUUAAUGUUUUAUUGUAUCAGGAAGUGCUAUUCUUAUCCAGAGGGAGUAAUAGAACAUAUUUCUCUGUGUCUCUAGUUUUCUCUCAAAUGUGCCUUUGGUGUUUGUCCAAAGGAAACAUAACAGGAUAUUUAGCACUUGAAUAGUAAACUCGUUUUCUGAGAAAAUGUGAUACAUUCAGCUUUUAAGUAGGAAUAAAUGUAUUAUUGAGUCAUUCAUCUGCCAGUAUUUAUUAAACACCCACUAUGUGCCAGGAAUUGCUCUAAGCACUAGAGGUAAGGUGGUGAGCAAAGCAUAUCGAAUCUCCUGCCUCCUGCUUCCAUGGAGCUGUCAUUUUGCAGAAGACAGCAAACAACCAAAAUAUAUUAAAGAAUGAAGAGCAUUAUGAAUCCCAUGGAUUACUUAGUGUUGACCACUAAAAUAUAUUUUAAACUUGAAUAACAAUAUUAAAAGUUGGAUCUGAUGAGCCAUUCAAACAACUCUCUAUAUAAAUAAUAAGAUGAUUAGAAGGCUUUUUAAAAUUAGAUCACAUGGCAAAAAAAGAGAUAUCUCAGCUUUUAAAAUUAAUAAAUGUUUAUCUAUGAAGGUAGGAAUAAAGUGAAAAGUAUACCUUUCUCAUUUUUAAUAGUUCCAAAUUUUAUUGAGUGCUUGGUGAAUUGUUAUUGCAGAAAUAAAUGUUAAGGUAAGUGUCCCCUAUGGUCUAAAAGUUAGACUCGGAAGGGACUCUGGACACCCAUUCUCUCAUUUUAUAGAUGAGAUGCAAGGGCAAGAAAGGUCUGUACAAGUGCACGAAUUCUCCGAGUAGUCAAGGUGACCCAGGCGAGCCAGAGCUGAGACCUGCCUUUUCUCAUGUGAUUGUUAAGUAAUCACAUUGUCUCUCUAUGGCGGUAAUACAAUUACUUGACCCUUGACUUUUCUCAUUAUCUUAUUUUCAGGUUGAGUAAUAGAAAACAGAAUCUGAACUAUAAAGGGAAAUGCUAAGUAUUUAGAGGAACCAAAUUACUUGGAAUCUCAAAAUCUACGUUCAAGUCUUUUUCACAAUGGAUUUGCCUGGGAGCUCCACCGAGGUCAGCAUGAGUUCUGUAGCUAUGAUGGAUCCGGCAUUAUUGUCAAGUUUGUUCCACUGCUAAUAAAGUCAGUUCUAGACUUG